AUUGAACGCUGGCGGCAUGCUUUACACAUGCAAGUCGAACGGUAACAGGCCGCAAGGUGCUGACGAGUGGCGAACGGGUGAGUAAUGCAUCGGAACGUGCCCAGUCGUGGGGGAUAACUACUCGAAAGAGUAGCUAAUACCGCAUACGAUCUAUGGAUGAAAGCGGGGGACCGUAAGGCCUCGCGCGAUUGGAGCGGCCGAUGUCAGAUUAGGUAGUUGGUGGGGUAAAGGCUCACCAAGCCAACGAUCUGUAGCUGGUCUGAGAGGACGACCAGCCACACUGGGACGGAGAACCGCCCCAGCCCCCGAGGGGAGGCAGCGGUGGGGAAUUUUGGACAAGGGGCGAAAGCCUGACCCAGCAAUGCGGGGUGAAGGAAGAGGGCCUUCGGGUGGUAAACUGCUUUUGUACGGAACAAAACGGCUCUGGUUAAUACCCGGGGUUAAUGGCGGUACCGUAAAAAUAAGCACCGGCAAACUCCGG
rnacentral:rRNA from 1 species